rnacentral:antisense_RNA from 1 species
UGUGGGAGCGGGCUUGCUCGCGAAGGCGUCUUUCCAGUCAACAAAUCCGCUGACUGACAGACCGCUUUCGCGAGCAAGCCCGCUCCCACA